GUUAUACCGACAACGAAGAGCUUAAAGUGAUGUCAAAAGAAGUUGAGUAUAGUCAGUUGGCUGAUGUAGCGACAAUAAGUAGUAAGUGCUGGGAACUAUGAAGUGGAAGUAUGACUACUCAGAAAACGUUAACACAAUGAUUAUUUAACUCGCAUGAAGAUUGUGAAAGAGAUUCAUGAACACAAUGAAGUUUUGAGUUUUUAUUCAUACACUUGUUAGUUUA